rnacentral:misc_RNA from 1 species
GUUCGAUUCGGUUUGAACCGAAUACUCACCUCUACUUGCAUGUAAUCCAGGAGAAACUACAUUUGCAAUCUGAGUUAACUGACUUGUUGGAUGAAUUCUCAUAUUUGUUAUAACCCUUGGGUCUCCAUCCAAUUCGGUCAUGUGAUCACAAAAUAUGCCUCUUACUUAUGACUGGACCAAUGGUGGUUUGUCCUUACUGCCAUCCCCAUCUUCAAAAGGAUGAGAUAGAACGGCAAUGUGAAGAGAUGUUGAAGCAAGGAAUUAUUUGGCCAAUUAGAUCUCCUUUCUCCUCACCAGUUUUAUUAGUCCGGAAGAUAGACUGAUCAUGGAGAUUUUAUGUGGAUUAUAGAGAAUUAAAUGCCAAGAUUGUGAAAGAUAAAUUCCCUAUUCUUGUGGUGGAAGAAUUAUUGAAUGAAUUGCAUGGAGCUCGAUUCUUUACCAAAUUGGAUCUCCGUUAGGGCUACCAUUAGAUAAGAAUGGAUUCGGUAGAUGUAGAAAAAAAUAGCCUUUUGUAGUCAUCAUGGGCACUUUGAGUUCUUGGUAAUGCCCUUUGUGCUCACUGACGCCCUGUUUACCUUCCAAGCUUUCAUGAAUAAAGUUUUUCAGCCAUAUCUAUCUAAGUUCUUUCUUGUAUUUUUGGAUAAUAUUGAGGAGCAUGUUAAUCACAUCCGAAUUGUCUUUCAAUUAUUGCGAGCUCACCUUCUUUUUCUUAAGCUCUCCAAGUGUUCUUUUGGCGAAACAAAAGUCGCAUAUUUGGGUCACAUCAUUAUAGGUUCAGUUGUGUUAGUGGAUGAAAGCAAAAUAUAAGCUAUCAUCGAAUGGCCUGAACCACAAUCAAUUAAGGCUUUACGGGGAUUUCUUGGAUUGACUGGUUAUUACAGGCGAUUCAUCAAGAAUUAUGGGAUUCUAGUAGCUCCAUUAACUAACCUCUUGAAGAAGAAUUCUUUCAAGUGGGAUGAGACUACAUUAGAAUCAUUUAAGGCGCUGAAACAAGCCCUUUAAUUGGUGCCAGUCCUCCACUUACUAGACUUUGAUGUGGAAUUUGUGUUGGAAUGUGAUGUUCAAGUGGAGGGAUCGGUGCAUAGUUAUAACAACAUGGUCACCUCUUGCGUUAUUUAGUCGAAAAUUGGCUGAAAGACAUUUGAAAUUACUAGCCUACGAAAGGGAGUUAAUUGGGUUGGCUAAGGCUAUGCAAUACUGGCGACCUUACGUAUGGGGUAGCUCAUUCUUGAUUCAUAUUGAUCAUUUCAGCCUUAAGUACUUGUUGAAACGACUACUACUUUACCACAACAACACUGGCUUAGUAAGUUAAUGGGCUUUGAUUUCAGAGUAGAAUACCGAGCGAGUAGUUUGAAUAAAGCAGCAGAUGCACCAUCAUGAAGGGAGGAUGAAACAGGCCUGCUAUGUCCCAUCUCUCAACCAAUUCUCUCCCUUUUUGCUUCAGUCAAGGCUGAAAUAGAAGAAAUAGGGGAACUUCGAGACUUAAGGGAUUGAAUUCUUCAAGGAAUAGUUCAUGAUGGGUUAAUUAUGUUUCAACGAGUUUUUCUUCUUCCCACAUCUCCCUUAAUAAGCUCGGUGAUUGCUGGCAUUCAUAAUGCCACAUGAAGGCAUCCAAAAGACUUCACAACAAAUUCGAAGGGAUUUCGAUUGGAAAGGAAUGAAAACAAUGAUUCAGGACUUUGUUACCGCCUGCCCUAUUUGCCAAAAGAACAAAGUUGAGCACUUGAAUUCAGCAAGUCUUCUUCAGCUACUUGAUAUUCCUCAACAAGUUGAACAGUUAGAGCAGGAGGUUUCUGAGCUGCGGAGG